UGUAAUCUCUCCAGUUCUUCUUCUGGGGAACAACACAGAGGAAGCCUAAGUUUGGAGCUAAUAGAUCUUUAAGUAGCCUUUCUCCUGCCUCCAGGUUCUUGCCCUGUUUCGAGUUCCUGUCCUGGCCUCCUUCAGUGAUGGACUACAGCAUGGAGGGGAGCUGUCAGUAGUAUAAGAACAGAAGAUUACUGAGGAUUAGACAACAGUGAUCUCAGAAUGCUUCAGACUACCCAAAAGUGCUAGAAAGGAGACAAGAUUUUCAGGUGAAGAACAACAGGAAAGGUACAUGUCACUAAGAGCUCAAAGUACAACUAUGCGGCAGUCAGUUCUCUUCCACUGUUUGGAUCCUGGUCAUUGACUCAGUUUGGCUGUUGGCAAUUCUACCUGCUGAACCAUUUUACCAGCCACAGACUUAACAAUGUUUAUUUGAUAUAAAAGUAACUUUUAUCUGCC
ensembl:lncRNA LOC102554278 uncharacterized LOC102554278